rnacentral:rRNA from 1 species
GAUGAACGCUGGCGGCGUGCCUAAUACAUGCAAGUCGAGCGAACAGACGAGGAGCUUGCUCCUCUGACGUUAGCGGCGGACGGGUGAGUAACACGUGGAUAACCUACCUAUAAGACUGGGAUAACUUCGGGAAACCGGAGCUAAUACCGGAUAAUAUAUUGAACCGCAUGGUUCAAUAGUGAAAGACGGUUUUGCUGUCACUUAUAGAUGGAUCCGCGCCGCAUUAGCUAGUUGGUAAGGUAACGGCUUACCAAGGCAACGAUGCGUAGCCGACCUGAGAGGGUGAUCGGCCACCCUGGAACUGAGACACGGUCCAGACUCCUACGGGAGGCAGCAGUAGGGAAUCUUCCGCAAUGGGCGAAAGCCUGACGGAGCAACGCCGCGUGAGUGAUGAAGGUCUUCGGUUCGUAAAACUCUGUUAUUAGGGAAGAACAAAUGUGUAAGUAACUAUGCACGUCUUGACGGUACCUAAUCAGAAAGCCACGGCUAACUACGU